rnacentral:rRNA from 1 species
UCUUGGUCAUUUAGAGGAAGUAAAAGUCGUAACAAGGUUUCCGUAGGUGAGUAGAUCAAGUCCCCGGCCCCCUCUCCUUCCGUACAAUUUCACGUACUAACAACUUUUCAGGUGAACCUGCGGAAGGAUCAUUA